CCUACGGGUGGCAGCAGUGAGGAAUAUUGGUCAAUGGACGAGAGUCUGAACCAGCCAAGUCGCGUGAAGGAUGACUGCCCUCUGGGUUGUAAACUUCUUUUAUAUGGGAAUAAAAUGUUCCACGUGUGGGAUUUUGUAUGUACCAUAUGAAUAAGGAUCGGCUAACUCCGUGCCAGCAGCCGCGGUAAUACGGAGGAUCCGAGCGUUAUCCGGAUUUAUUGGGUUGAUAGGGAGCGUAGGUGGAUUGUUAAGUCAGUUGUGAAAGUCUGCGGCUCAACCGUAGAAUUGCAGUUGAAACUGGCAGCCUUGAGUACAGUAGAGGAGGGCGGAAUUCUUGGUGUAGCGGUGAAAUGCUUAGAUAUCACGAAGAACUCCGAUUGCGAAGGCAGCUCUCUGGACUGCAACUGACGCUGAGGCUCGAAAGUGUGGGUAUCAAACAGGAUUAGAUACCCUUGUAGUC
rnacentral:rRNA from 1 species